CACCUAAUCUGACAACAUCAUUUUGAAUAUUUUUCUUUCUCAAAGUUUAGGAAAGUUUUGCUUUCUCCGAGUUACUCAAUUUUAUUAGUUUACAGAAUUUGAUAAAAUAAAUAAAAUAAUUUAUAUAUAUUAAAGAUAUAUAGAAUUUGCAAAAUAUACAGGUUUUUCCUAUUAUUGACCUGGGCUUCUGUGAAUGGAUAAGUUCUAAGUUAUUUAUGUAUAACGAUUUUUUAAACCAAUUAAUUAGGGUGUUGCAUAUUUUUUAGAAUCUGCUGUGAAAUAAAUUUAAUAUAUAAUCACAAAUGUAGCUCUACGACAACAUGAAAUUCAACAAUAAAUUUUGGUCCAUGGUAAUUGAAAUACGUUAUGCUUGACUAAUGAAUAUAACUAUUAUAUAUAUUAAUAUUCCCUGCAAGAUGCCUGUUAAAAAGAAAAACUGAAGAAACUUUAAAACUAGAUGAUGGCAACUGAAGAAGCCUCUACUUCAAUCUGGCUAUUGUUAUAGCACGUAUAUCGAUUUAUAUACUGUAUUGAGUUAGCUUGUGAUUUUUACGUGUGUUUUUGUUUGUCUAGUGUUAGUUAGUUAUAUGCAAGAUAUGACAUGGUAUGGCACACUGCAUGGUGUACCCUAAAUAAUAUUAUUAAUAAAUAUUUUUAUCUAUAUUUUGUAAAUAUAUAUGCUAUAAAUUAUUAUAUUAUUAAAAGUGGAUGAAAGCACUAAAGAAGCGUAACGAUAAACUUUAUGGUGGCGAUAUGAGAGAACUAAUGUGGCAGUGAUUAUGGUGGCGGUAUGAGAGAACUAAUGUGGCAGUGAUUAUGGUGGCGAUAUGAGAGAACUAAUGUGGCAGUAUAUUACUAUCAUAGAACAGUUUUGCAUCAAAUCAUUGUAUAAUAUUAGUUUUUUGUUAAUUUAAAUAUUAUGAAAUUCAAA